UACGUAGGGUGCAAGCGUUGUCCGGAAUUAUUGGGCGUAAAGAGCUCGUAGGCGGUCUGUCGCGUCGGCUGUGAAAACUCGGGGCUCAACCCCGAGCCUGCAGUCGAUACGGGCAGACUAGAGUCCGGCAGGGGAGACUGGAAUUCCUGGUGUAGCGGUGAGAUGCGCAGAUAUCAGGAGGAACACCGGUGGCGAAGGCGGGUCUCUGGGCCGGAACUGACGCUGAGGAGCGAAAGCGUGGGGAGCGAACAGG
rnacentral:rRNA from 1 species